rnacentral:rRNA from 1 species
GACGAACGCUGGCGGCGUACCUAAUACAUGCAAGUCGAGCGGACUUUCAAGAAGCUUGCUUUUUGAAAGUUAGCGGCGGACGGGUGAGUAACACGUGGGCAACCUGCCUGUAAGACGGGGAUAACUCCGGGAAACCGGGGCUAAUACCGGAUAAUAUCUUUCUUCGCAUGAAGGAAGGUUGAAAGGCGGCGCAAGCUGCCGCUUGCAGAUGGGCCCGCGGCGAAUUAGCUAGUUGGUGAGGUAACGGCUCACCAAGGGGACGAUGCGUAGCCGACCUGAGAGGGUGAUCGGCCACACUGGGACUGAGACACGGCCCAGACUCCUACAGGAGGCAGCAGUAGGGAAUCUUCCGCAAUGGACGAAAGUCUGACGGAGCAACGCCGCGUGAGCGAAGAAGGUCUUCGGAUCGUAAAGCUCUGUUGUCAGGGAAGAACAAGUACCGUUCGAAUAGGACGGUACCUUGACGGUACCUGACCAGAAAGCCACGGCUAACUACGUGCCAGCAGCAGCCGCCG